AGUGCGGUAGAACUAAAGGAGGGUG
rnacentral:piRNA from 1 species